UUGGCAGUGAGGAUCCUAGUCCCAAAUGAUCGAUCAUGAUUAUAAUGUGCAAAUUGAAAGCCUAAUUUGAGGAUUCAAGUGUUGAAUCUUAUCUUU